GGGGGGGCUGCUGGGGCCUGGAGGUCAAAAGUCUCCCUGGGAGCACUGCCAUCCAGAGCUGCAGUCAGAGCUGCCUGGUCUGACCCUGCUGCUUCCCUUCCUGGAGCCCCUCUCGAUAAUGGCACCAUGUUGAGACCAGUAUUUGUGCACCCUGUGCGAGCAUGAGCCUCAGAGGUCAGAGGAGGUUGUUGGAGCCCCUGCAGCUGGAGUUACAGGCAGUUGUAAGCUGUCACGUGGAAGCUGGAAACCACUCUUACUUGGGUCCUCAGCAAGAACAACAGCUCCAGCCCCUUCUCCAUGUUUCUGAAUCACAACUCCCUUUAGGCGCACCAGAAGAGCAGGGGUCCUCAUGGCGGCACCGUAGUGCAUGGUGUGGCUAAGCCUCUGUAUCCUAGCUGCUUGUUGAUUCUCUGCCCUUUUUCCUUCAUGGAGCAGGUUUCUGGCCACCGCACCCCAUUUUAGUUGCUUUCUUGGUGUCUAUGCUGUGAGUUGCGGCCUCGGAAAUCCCUGCCGGGGCCCAGUGCUUAGUUCUGCACUGGGGCCAAGAUCUGCACCAUGUUAACUGGGUCACCUGAAAAUAUGAGCAAAGCAAAGUGGGGGCGUGAGUCCCCAGAAUGGGCACCACUGGCCAGGUGGCAUUAAUGUCAUAGCCUCAUUCUUCUUAAAAAUAAUAACAAUAAAAUACUUUUAAAAGA